rnacentral:rRNA from 1 species
CAGGCCUAACACAUGCAAGUCGAACGAGAUCUUCGGAUCUAGUGGCGCACGGGUGAGUAACGCGUGGAAACCUGCCUAUCUGUACGGAAUAACGUUUGGAAACGAACGCUAAUACCGUAUACGCCCUGUGGGGGAAAGGUCCGCCGCAGAUAGAGGGGUCCGCGUCCGAUUAGCUUGUUGGUGGGGUAAUGGCCUACCAAGGCUACGAUCGAUAGCUGGUCUGAGAGGAUGAUCAGCCACACUGGGACUGAGACACGGCCCAGACUCCUACGGGAGGCAGCAGUGGGGAAUAUUGGACAAUGGGGGCAACCCUGAUCCAGCAAUGCCGCGUGUGUGAUGAAGGCCUUAGGGUUGUAAAGCACUUUCACUGGUGAAGAUGAUGACGGUAACCAGAGAAGAAGCCCCGGCUAACUUCGUGCCAGCAGCCGCGGUAAUACGAAGGGGGCGAGCGUUGUUCGGAAUUACUGGGCGUAAAGGGCGCGUAGGCGGUCUUUUAAGUUAGGCGUGAAAGCCCCGGGCUCAACCUGGGAACUGCGCUUAAGACUGGAAGACUAGAAAACGGAAGAGGGUAGUGGAAUUCCCAGUGUAGAGGUGAAAUUCGUAGAUAUUGGGAAGAACACCAGUGGCGAAAGCGGCUACCUGGUCCGAU